GCAUUUGCGUAAACGCGCAUGGCUAACUAUAUCUCUUCGUGCCGGGUUUCACCCGGCUAUGACGAUAAACUGCGGCGAGUAAUAGACGCAGCGGACCCGGGGGCAGUACCCGGCGGCUCCACCAUAAAAGGUGGUGUACUUGGACACCGUUUCUGACGGGGCCGAACCAGGAUCGACGUGUGUUGAAAAGCGCUGUUUUCGUUCGGAAUGGGACCACCGCAACGGCCCAUACACACAAGUGCCAACGAUAACGAAGCACUCGCGAUUGCGGCGUAAUUGAGGGCCUCACGGCCUGAGAUUACACCAAGAUAGCGCGGUUGGACCGAACCGGGCAACAGAAUCGGAUUCCAGCGGUACGGGGAGCACCGGGCAACAGAAGCUCCCCACU
rnacentral:tmRNA from 1 species